UACCAGCACCCCGAGUGGUCGGGACGUUUAUUGGGCCUAAAGCAUCCGUAGCCGGCUCUGCAAGUCUUCCGUUAAAUCCACCUGCUUAACAGAUGGGCCGCGGAAGAUACUAUAGAGCUAGGAGGCGGGAGAGGCAAGCGGUACUCGAUGGGUAGGGGUAAAAUCCGUUGAUCCAUUGAAGACCACCAGUGGCGAAGGCGGCUUGCCAGAACGCGCUCGACGGUGAGGGAUGAAAGCUGGGGGAGCAAACCGG
rnacentral:rRNA from 1 species